rnacentral:rRNA from 1 species
GACGAACGCUGGCGGCGUGCUUAACACAUGCAAGUCGAACGGAAAGGCCCUGCUUUUGUGGGGUGCUCGAGUGGCGAACGGGUGAGUAACACGUGAGUAACCUGCCCUUGACUUUGGGAUAACUUCAGGAAACUGGGGCUAAUACCGGAUAGGAGCCCCUGCUGCAUGGUGGGGGUUGGAAAGUUUCGGCGGUUGGGGAUGGACUCGCGGCUUAUCAGCUUGUUGGUGGGGUAGUGGCUUACCAAGGCUUUGACGGGUAGCCGGCCUGAGAGGGUGACCGGCCACAUUGGGACUGAGAUACGGCCCAGAAUCCUACGGGAGGCAGCAGUGGGGAAUAUUGCACAAUGGGCGGAAGCCUGAUGCAGCAACGCCGCGUGCGGGAUGACGGCCUUCGGGUUGUAAACCGCUUUCGCCUGUGACGAAGCGUGAGUGACGGUAAUGGGUAAAGAAGCACCGGCUAACUACGUG